rnacentral:rRNA from 1 species
CUACGGGGGCUGCAGUUAGGUAUAAUCUACAAUGCACGAAAGUGUGAUAGUUUGAAUCAGAGUGCUUUGCUUUGCAAAGCUUUUGUGAAAUGUAAAAAGUUUCACGAAUAAGGACUGGGUAAGACUAGUGCCAGCCGCCGCGGUAAUACUAGCGGUCCAAGUCGCAGCCAUUUUUAUUGGGUCUAAAACAUCCGUAGCUUGCUUUGUAAGUUCCUUGUGAAAUCCUAUAUCUCAAAUAUAGGGCGGGCAAGGAGUACUGCUAAGCUAGAGACUGGGAGACGUAACGAGUACGUUUGAGGUAGCGGUAAAAUGUGUUAAUCUCAGACGGACUAACAAUAGCGAAGGCACGUUACGAGAACAGUUCUGACAGUAAGGGAUGAAGGCCAGGGGCGCAAAACGGAUUAGAUACCCCGGUAGUC